rnacentral:lncRNA from 1 species
GGCCUUGCUCUUAUGUCAUCUGACUAAAGGUUUCAUAGACCAAAAAUAACCAUCCAACCUGUUGGAAUACUGAAACAAUUGCUGCCUGCUUUCCACACACUACAUAAAAUAUGUGGAUAUCCUAAAUUCUACAAAAAAAGAUUUGUAAGCAAAUCAAGCAAUACUGGGACUCCCUCUUCUCCAGAAGAGACAUCCUGGCCUCCAUGCAGAGGAAUGUGUGGAUAGACAUAUAUUUAAGGAAGACACUAAACCAGAAAAUACUACAUUACACCCUCUUAAAAGACUUCUAAGAUUGUUGUCAUGCCUACCACUGACAUUCAGAUGAUGUGUAUUCUUGAUUGUGAUUUCAUGUUUGGAGCUGAUGAAGGAGUUUGAAGUCUCCAGAGCAGCAAGGAGAGUGGGGAGUAGAACUCAUCAUCUUUAAGUCACUCAUCACCG